rnacentral:misc_RNA from 1 species
UCGAUCGACGCGAAACACACAGGAGUUUUUUCCGUGAAAACAGCCAUCACCGAAAUGUUCGGCAUCGAGCAUCCGAUCAUUCAGGGCGGCAUGCAUUACGUGGGGUUCGCGGAGCUUGCCGCAGCUGUAUCGAAUGCGGGAGGUCUUGGCGUCAUCACUGGGUUGACGCAGAAGACGCCGGAACUGCUGGCNNNNUCGCGCGCUGCCGCGGCAUGUCCGAUAAGCCGUUCGGCGUGAAUCUCACCUUUCUUCCGAC